UAGGGAAUCUUCCGCAAUGGACGCAAGUCUGACGGAGCAACGCCGCGUGAGUGAAGAAGGAUUUCGGUUCGUAAAACUCUGUUGUUAGAGAAGAACAGCGCAUAGAGUAACUGUUAUGCGUGUGACGGUAUCUAACCAGAAAGCCACGGCUAACUACGUGCCAGCAGCCGCGGUAAUACGUAGGUGGCAAGCGUUGUCCGGAUUUAUUGGGCGUAAAGCGAGCGCAGGCGGUCAAUUAAGUCUGAUGUGAAAGCCCCCGGCUCAACCGGGGAGGGUCAUUGGAAACUGGUUGACUUGAGUGCAGAAGAGGAGAGUGGAAUUCCAUGUGUAGCGGUGAAAUGCGUAGAUAUAUGGAGGAACACCAGUGGCGAAGUCGACUCUCUGGUCUGUAACUGACGCUGAGGCUCGAAAGCGUGGGUAGCAAACAGG
rnacentral:rRNA from 1 species